GUAGGUGGCAAGCGUUGUCCGGAAUUAUUGGGCGUAAAGCGCGCGCAGGCGGUUCUUUAAGUCUGAUGUGAAAGCCCACGGGCUCAACCGUGGAGGGUCAUUGGAAACUGGAGAACUUGAGUACAGAAGAGGAAAGCGGAAUUCCACGUGUAGCGGUGAAAUGCGUAGAGAUGUGGAGGAACACCAGUGGCGAAGGCGGCUUUCUGGUCUGUAACUGACGCUGAGGCGCGAAAGUGUGGGGAGCAAACAGGAUUAGAUACCCUGGUAGUCCACGCCGUAAACGAUGAGUGCUAAGUGUUAGGGGGUUUCCGCCCCUUAGUGCUGCAGCUAACGCAUUAAGCACUCCGCCUGGGGAGUACGGCCGCAAAGGCUG
rnacentral:rRNA from 1 species